rnacentral:rRNA from 1 species
CCUACGUGAGGCAGCAGUGGGGAAUAUUGCACAAUGGGGGAAACCCUGAUGCAGCGACGCCGCGUGAGUGAAGAAGUAAUUCGUUAUGUAAAGCUCUAUCAGCAGGGAAGAAAAUGACGGUACCUGAGUAAGAAGCCCCGGCUAACUACGUGCCAGCAGCCGCGGUAAUACGUAGGGGGCAAGCGUUAUCCGGAUUUACUGGGUGUAAAGGGAGCGUAGACGGCAGUGCAAGUCUGGAGUGAAAGGCGGGGGCUCAACCCCCGGACUGCUCUGGAAACUGUACGGCUGGAGUGCAGGAGAGGUAAGUGGAAUGCCUAGUGUAGCGGUGAAAUGCGUAGAUAUUAGGAGGAACACCAGUGGCGAAGGCGGCUUACUGGACUGUAACUGACGUUGAGGCUCGAAAGCGUGGGGAGCAAACAGGAUUAGAUACCCCAGUAGUC